UUACGGGAGGCAGCAGUGGGGAAUAUUGGACAAUGGGCGCAAGCCUGAUCCAGCCAUGCCGCGUGGGUGAUGAAGGCCCUAGGGUUGUAAAGCCCUUUCGGCGGGGAAGAUAAUGACGGUACCCGCAGAAGAAGCCCCGGCUAACUUCGUGCCAGCAGCCGCGGUAAUACGAAGGGGGCUAGCGUUGCUCGGAAUCACUGGGCGUAAAGCGCACGUAGGCGGCUUCUUAAGUCAGGGGUGAAAUCCUGGAGCUCAACUCCAGAACUGCCUUUGAUACUGGGAGACUCGAGUCCGGAAGAGGUGAGUGGAACUGCGAGUGUAGAGGCGAAAUUCGUAGAUAUUCGCAAGAACACCAGUGGCGAAGGCGGCUCACUGGUCCGGUACUGACGCUGAGGUGCGAAAGCGUGGGGAGCAAACAGGAUUAGAUACCCGCGUAGUCCG
rnacentral:rRNA from 1 species